CUGUGAUGUGGAGGUCAUGGCUCCACUGGACUCAUGAGGAGACUGAGGCUCAGAGCAAUGAAGUGACCUGCUCAAAGUUAAGGAGCUUCAGUGAGGACCCAAUUUGUUCUGAUCCUAAGGUCACUAUCCUUAAUUCCUCUCCCUGUGGGGUCUUCCCUUUCUUGAGCCUGUGGACAGCAGUGCAGUGGCAAGAGAAAGGCCUUCAGAGCUAUGCAGACCUGGCUUCAAGUCCCAGCCUCCCUGAUGAGCCCUGGUGGUCUUGCAUGCUUGCCCUUGGGACUCAGACACCAUAUUUUGAGGAAGCCCAAGCUGCAUGCAGAGGCCACUGUAGUUGUUCUGGCCAACAGCCCAAGCUUCAGCUGCCAGAUAUAUGAAUAAACCAACUCUUCAAACGAUUUCAGUUUCCAGACUUCAAUACCUCCCAGGUAAUGUCCAGAGGAGCAGAGAUGAAGCAUCCUCUCUGAGCCCUGCCCAAAUGCAGACUUGAGAACAAACUAAAUGCCAUUGUCUCAAGCCACUAAUUUUCAGGGUGGCUUGGUACACAGCACCAGGUAACAGGAAUAGCCCCCCUCUUCCUCUGCAGCUCUCCCCAGGUACAGGCAAGUUCCCCAACCCAUGCUUCAUCCCCACCCCACAGACAGAACCUGGAGUCAGUCCUUCCACCCACAACUGUGCCUUCCAAACUAAGCUCAAAGUCCAGCUCUGUUGCUUUCAGAUGGGUGCCCUAGGGCAAGUCACCAACCCUAUAUGACAAAUCCCUCUGUGUAAAAUGGGAAUUGUAAUAGUGCCCCUGAGGAGUCUUGGAGGGAUUUAAUAAAGUGCCUGGAACAU
rnacentral:lncRNA from 1 species